rnacentral:misc_RNA from 1 species
UGUAUAUACUAGCAACAAACAUAAAGACACAAAAGUUGCAUUAUUACAAGACUUAUGUAAUAGCCAUACAAUAUUCUUCAAUCAUAUAAUAUAUGUAAAGCUGGUUUUUAGACUUUUAAAGUUUUAAAUACACAAAUAGUACAAAUGAAAAAUUGGAAGAACCAGACUGAUCUCCAGAGAUUAUUGAAACAACUUUCUCACCACACCUUACUCAGCAUCUGCAAAUCCGAGCUCCGAGAGCUUCAAAUGAGCUUCAGCAUAAUCAGCAAAGAAUGCA